rnacentral:rRNA from 1 species
GCUCAGGAUGAACGCUAGCUACAGGCUUAACACAUGCAAGUCGAGGGGCAGCAUGAACUUAGCUUGCUAAGUUUGAUGGCGACCGGCGCACGGGUGAGUAACACGUAUCCAACCUUCCCGUUACUCUGGGAUAGCCUUUCGAAAGAAAGAUUAAUACCGGAUAGUAUCGAGAGAUUGCAUGAUAACCCGAUUAAAGAUUUAUCGGUAACGGAUGGGGAUGCGUUCCAUUAGAUAGUAGGCGGGGUAACGGCCCACCUAGUCGACGAUGGAUAGGGGUUCUGAGAGGAAGGUCCCCCACAUUGGAACUGAGACACGGUCCAAACUCCUACGGGAGGCAGCAGUGAGGAAUAUUGGUCAAUGG